UGAGAAGCCAGGACCAGUCAUUUGCAAUGAAAACUGAAAGAUAUAAUGCCCUAAAAAAGUGUGAGAAUGCUGCCUCUGACAGAACAGGUGAUAAGGAGAAGAAAGGCCGAGCCCCAGAAGUCAAGGUGGCAGAAAGAAGAAAGGAGCUGUGAUGAAAGGCUAUUUUGUUGGAAAAAACAGAAAUUUCCUCAAGGUCCAAGACAUAAGAAGCCUUCAAAAGACAUCUCUACCCAAUGUCAUCUGUAUUUAGCUCCAAGUUCUUUGCCAAAGGAAUGGGUUUGUUAUCACAGAGCUCCAGCCCCAUCAUCCCUCUUCUGUACAUAUCCACUUACUCUUCCAGCAUGAGGCCCUCAGAUGCGGAGCAGAUGCCAGCCUCCUGAACUGCAGUUGGCCAGGAGUUGGGGAGGGAAUGUGCUGACAGGCUUUUCAAGGGAGCAGUUGUGUUCUUGUGCCAGAUAUGACUGAAAUUGUAUUGAUGAAUGUCGGCAACCACACCUUAUGUCUCAUGGUUUUGGAUUCAGUUUGAUUUAUGACAUUACUUUCAAAGCUUCCAUUCCCAGAAGUAAACAGAGUCAUCAGACAUGAAAUCUGGGAAAAGAGUGUCAGUUCAGUUUACCAAGUUCAAGGCAAGGAACUAUUAAUGACUCUCAAACUACGAUGCUCAAUUCUUUUUCACCGGAGCACUGACCAGUCACCAGAGGAGCAGGGAGUGGGAGAGAGGCAUGCAUGUGACUACUGGAGGUCUGAGGAGCAGCAUUCAUAAGCCUGUGAGAG
rnacentral:lncRNA from 1 species